CCGAACCUCUGAUUGAUCACCUGAGGCGAGCCGUGAGUCAGCCAGAGGAGCACAGCUGAAGGCAAUUCUCCUGUGCUGCCGGAAGGGUGGAGCCUGGCUGCACCCCUCCUAGACCUAUUUAAGAGCUGGCUACCAGAGGGGAAGGAGCUCUUCUGGAGAUCACCUCUCUUGGUGUUUUGUGGUGAGCUCAGCCAAAGGUAGAUGGCUGUUUGCUGUAUCACAUGGUUGUGAUCUUGCUCUUCCAAAAAUCCUGCUUCCUGGGAGUGACAGCUUUGACUGCUUAAUAGAAACCAGAAUGCAAUGGGAGAAAGGGCAGGAAGAUGGUGUAGACAUCAGGCACCAACAACACAGAGCUCCACAAAACAAAAGAAGACAACUCCAGCCCUCCAGGACCCAACCAGAGGACUGGGGGAACUGCCAUGAAAGAUACGGCUGCCAUUCAGGAGAUGGAUUUCUCUGUGAGACUCUUCUGUAAUUUCUCUGUACCUCAGCUGUACGCAGGGGACCUUCUAAUUUCUCUCCCAGUGGCUGAUUUUAACAACCUGAAAUGUUUUGUUUUAUUUUUACCCUGGAUGUCAUUACUUUUAAAAAGAGACAAGCUGUCCCAGAAUGGUGCAAUUAAAUUGUUAAACUGGCUAAUAGCUCAGCAGAAGCAGCCGGGCUGUGCUUUACCCUCCAUUACCAGCCAGCUGGAGAAAAAUGCUGAUACCAUUAAACGGCAUUUUAAAAAUGA